UUGUUGACGAUGUUGAUGAUGUCGUUGACAAUGUUGUUGUUGCUGCCGCUGCAGACGCGCGACUGGAACGAGCAGCUGCAGAGCUGCCAUGAGCUCCCCCCACAAGACGCUGUCACAGAGACUCGUUAGAGAGAGAGAGAGCCACAUUCAAGGUCCCACCACCGAUGGGCGCUGCCGGUGCGUCGUCUCUGGUUGACGCUGCUCAGCAAGGAGCAGCUUCACUCCACGAUCCUGCGCUACUCACUCACUCACCCACUCACUCACCCACUCACUCACCCACUCACUCACUCACCCACUCACUCAGCCACUCACUCACCCACUCACUCACUCACCCACUCACUCACUCACAAGCUUCACUCCACGUUCCUGCGCUACUCACUCGCAGGCGGCCACAGCACGAGACGCGCGACUGGAACGAGGAGCUGCAGAGCUGCCGUGAGCUCCCCCACAAGACGCUGUCACAGAGACUCGUUAGAGAGAGACAGCCACAUUCAAGACGCGCGACUGGAACGAGGAGCUGCAGAGCUGCCGUGAGCUCCCCCACAAGAAGCUGUCACAGAGACUCGUUAGAGAGAGAGAGCAACAUUCAAGGUCCCACCACCGAUGGGCGCUGCCGGUGCGUCGUCUCUGGUUGACGCUGCUCAGCAAGGAGCAGCUUCACUCCACGUUCCUGCGCUACUCACUCACCCACUCACUCACCCACUCACUCACUCACCCACUCACUC